AUUGAACGCUGGCGGCAGGCCUAACACAUGCAAGUCGAGCGAGCGGCGGACGGGUGAGUAAUGUCUGGGAAACUGCCCGUUGGAGGGGGGUAACUACUGGAAACGGUAGCUCAUACCGCAUACCAUCAGAUGUGCCCAGAUGUGAUUAGCUGGUAGGUGGGGUAACGGCCCACCUAGGCGACGAACCCUAGCGGGUCUGAGAGGAUGACCAGCCACCCUGGAAGUGAGACACGGUCAAUACUCCUACGGGAGGCAGCAGGGGGGAAUAUUGCACAAUGGGGGCAAGCCUGAUGCAGCCAUGCCGCGUGUGUGAAGAAGGCCUUCGGGUUGUAAAGCACUUUAAGCGGGGAGGCGUUACCCGCAGAAGAAGCACCGGCUAACUCCGUGCCAGCAGCCGCGGUAAUUC
rnacentral:rRNA from 1 species